rnacentral:tRNA from 1 species
AUAGUGAAUAGUUUAAGUUAAAAUGUUAAAUUUUGAGUUUGAGGAUGGUGUGAGAAUCUUGCUAUG